AUUGAACGCUGGCGGCAGGCCUAACACAUGCAAGUCGAGCGGGGUUUUCGGACCUAGCGGCGGACGGGUGAGUAAUGCGUAGGAAGCUACCCGAUAGAGGGGGAUACCAGUUGGAAACGACUGUUAAUACCGCAUAAUGUCUACGGACCAAAGUGUGGGACCUUCGGGCCACAUGCUAUCGGAUGCGCCUACGUGGGAUUAGCUAGUUGGUGAGGUAAUGGCUCACCAAGGCGACGAUCCCUAGCUGGUUUGAGAGGAUGAUCAGCCACACUGGAACGGAGACACGGUCCGGACUCCUACGGGAGGCAGCAGUGGGGAAUAUUUGACAAUGGGCGCAAGCCUGAUCCAGCCAUGCCGCGUGUGUGAAGAAGGCCUUCGGGUUGUAAAGCACUUUCAGUAGGGAGGAAGCGUUGUGUGUUAAUAGUACACAGCGUUGACGUUACCUACAGAAGAAGCACCGGCUAACUCUGUGCCAGCCGCCGCCGUAACAC
rnacentral:rRNA from 1 species